rnacentral:rRNA from 1 species
CACAUCAUGGGAGUCGCUUGUAGCCGAAGUCGGCGCGCUAACUAGCAAUAGAGGCAGCCGCCUACGCUAUGAACGGUAACUGGGAUG